AUCGCUUUUGACAUAAGAUUUAUGGAGCUGCUACGAGUUCUGCAGUUAGAAGCCCAUCUACCCGCAAAGGGCUUUUGUGAUGCAUUGGAUCAUCUGGACAAUGAUUUUAUUCAUAACUCAGAACAUUUUCCAAAAGAUAUCUACAGAGCUGUUAUUGGUGAUUGCCUAAGGGAAUACCUUUAUCAUAGUUCUUUGCUUAAAACCAGAUAUACUUAUCAUGAAUCAACUAUUGGUCGUGAAUGUCCAAUUUGCAGGCGGGAACCUUCAUUGAUAUCUUUCGAUGCAAAUUUUGGACUGGUCCAUAAGAAAUCAUCAGGAGAUGGUCAUGGUAAGACCGCGGCAAGACAUAAUGACUUCCUCUUUGUGGAUCCUUCCAAGUUUAAGAACUUCAUCGAGGAUUACAAUGUGGAUAAAGGUUCCUAUGUUAAUGAUUGCUCCAAUUUCCAAGCUGGAAGCCUCGUAAGAUCCAAGUCAAAAAACGCCAAAUUGGAUGUGAAGGGGCUAUUUGGCUCCAUAUGUAAACACGAUAUACCUUAUUUAUUCAUUGAUAUGGAGUAUGGUGAAAGACUUGGGUAUGCUGUUUUUAUAAUGGAUAAACUCUUGGAAGAAAAUGAAAGCAAAACAGUUCUCAUGUAUGACAUUGCUUGCAUGUUACAUAAACAUCUCAUGAAAAAUAAAAGAAAUGACCUCCUCGAUAAAUUUUCAUUCGCUGUUCC